rnacentral:rRNA from 1 species
UGGUUAAAAAGCUCGUAGUUGGAUCUCGGCGGACUGAGGGCGGUUUGCUUGCUAGUAUUACUGCCCUAUAGUCCGUAGUUUUGCCAGAGGUUUCGGGGUGCUCUUAAUCGAGUGUCCCGGGAUGCUGGCAGGUUUACUUUGAAAAAAUUAGAGUGCUCAAAGCAGGCUAUUACGCCUGAAUAUUCGUGCAUGGAAUAAUAGAAUAGGAAGUCGUUUCUAUUUUGUUGGUUUUCGGAAAUCGACUUAAUGACUAAUAGGGACAGUCGGGGGCAUUUGUAUUCAAACGACAGAGGUGAAAUUCUUGGACCGUUUGAAGACAAACUACUGCGAAAGCAUUUGCCAAGAAUGUUUUCAUUAACCAAGAACGAAAGUUAAAGGUUCGAAGGCGAUUAGAUACCGCCCUAGUUUUAACCAUAAACGAUGCCAGCUAGCGAUCUGCGGACGUUUUUUUUGUAGACUCCGCAGGAAGCUUCCGGGAAACCAAAGCAUUUGGGUUCCAGGCGGAAGUAUGGUUGCAAAGCUGAAACUUAAAGGAAUUGACGGAAGGGCACCACCAGGAGUGGAGCCUGUGGCUUAAUUUGACUCAACACGGGAAAUCUCACCAGGCCCGGACACUGGAAGGAUUGACAGAUUGAUAGCUCUU